GAAAUAUUUAUUGUGGCAGUGUCUGAUUGACAGGGAAGGGAGAGAGAGAGAGAGAGAGAGAGAGAGAGAGAGAGAGAGAAAGAAAAAGAAGAAAAGAAGAAGAAGAAGAAGAAGAAGAAGAAGAAAAGAGAGAGAGAGGGAGAGAGCAAAGUGAGAGAGCUUGAUUUUUCAUAUUGUUUGUUUAUCUACUCAUCUAUUUGGAUGGAUCUGCAGGAAUAGAGUUCCUAUCUUAUGAGUUUACAAUGUUCUUGUAUGUUACUAGUACUUCACAGAUUGGGCAUGGAGAGACCAAUGAUAGCAAUCAUCUAUGUAAACAAUAUAUAGUAGUACACUGGGUACUUAGUUCUUAUUUUGAAAUCUACAGAGUUAUAUGCAGUACUAUUAGGAUCAUCAAUAUAUCAGUAAAAAUAACAAAUAAUCAUGAAUUAUAUCUGGCAUAAAAUCAAACAAUAGGUGUUGUUUAUGACUUCUGCCAUAUUAAUUAUUGCUGUGAUGUUGGUGGUAGGGGACAGAAGUUUAUAUAUAUAUAUAUAUAUAUAUAUAUAUAUAUAUAUAUAUAUAUAUAUAGAGAGAGAGAGAGAGAGAGAGAGAGGUGUUAAG
rnacentral:lncRNA from 1 species